AGAGUUUGAUCAUGGCUCAGGACGAACGCUGGCGGCACGCUUAACACAUGCAAGUCGAACGAGAGAAGAGGAGCUUGCUUUUCUGAUCUAGUGGCGGACGGGUGAGUAACACGUGAGCAAUCUGCCUUUCAGAGGGGGAUACCGAUUGGAAACGAUCGUUAAUACCGCAUAACAUAAUUGAACCGCAUGAUUUGAUUAUCAAAGAUUUAUCGCUGAAAGAUGAGCUCGCGUCUGAUUAGCUAGUUGGUAAGGUAACGGCUUACCAAGGCGACGAUCAGUAGCCGGACUGAGAGGUUGAUCGGCCACAUUGGGACUGAGACACGGCCCAGACUCCUACGGGAGGCAGCAGUGGGGAAUAUUGCACAAUGGAGGAAACUCUGAUGCAGCGAUGCCGCGUGAGGGAAGAAGGUUUUAGGAUUGUAAACCUCUGUCUUCAGGGACGAAAGAAGACGGUACCUGAGGAGGAAGCUCCGGCUAACUACGUGCCAGCAGCCGCGGUAAUACGUAGGGAGCGAGCGUUGUCCGGAAUUACUGGGUGUAAAGGGAGCGUAGGCGGGAUCGCAAGCCAGAUGUGAAAACUAUGGGCUUAACCCAUAAACUGCAUUUGAAACUGUGGUUCUUGAGUGAAGUAGAGGUAAGCGGAAUUUCUAGUGUAGCGGUGGAAUGCGUAGAUAUUAGGAGGAACAUCAGUGGCGAAGGCGGCUUACUGGGCUUUAACUGACGCUGAGGCUCGAAAGCGUGGGGAGCAAACAGGAUUAGAUACCCUGGUAGUCCACGCCGUAAACGAUGAUUACUAGGUGUGGGGGGACUGACCCCUUCCGUGCCGCAGCAAACGCAAUAAGUAAUCCACCUGGGGAGUACGACCGCAAGGUUGAAACUCAAAGGAAUUGACGGGGGCCCGCACAAGCAGUGGAGUAUGUGGAUUAAUUCGAAGCAACGCGAAGAACCUUACCAGGUCUUGACAUCGUAUGCAUAGCUCAGAGAUGAGUGAAAUCUCUUCGGAGACAUAUAGACAGGUGGUGCAUGGUUGUUGUCAGCUCGUGUCGUGAGAUGUUGGGUUAAGUCCCGCAACGAGCGCAACCCUUACUGUUAGUUGCUACGCAAGAGCACUCUAGCAGGACUGCCGUUGACAAAACGGAGGAAGGUGGGGAUGACGUCAAAUCAUCAUGCCCCUUAUGACCUGGGCCUCACACGUACUACAAUGGCUGUCAACAGAGGGAAGCAAAGCCGCGAGGUGGAGCGAACCCCUAAAAGCAGUCUUAGUUCGGAUUGUAGGCUGCAACCCGCCUACAUGAAGUCGGAAUUGCUAGUAAUCGCAGAUCAGCAUGCUGCGGUGAAUACGUUCCCGGGCCUUGUACACACCGCCCGUCACGCCAUGGGAGUCGGUAACACCCGAAGCCUGUAGUCUAACGGCAAGGAGGACGCAGUCGAAGGUGGGAUUGAUGACUGGGGUGAAGUCGUAACAAGGUA
rnacentral:rRNA from 1 species